AAAUUAUGUUCCUUCAAAAGAACACAGGUAAACUAUUUUAGGUACAGAUAUUUGAUGCUACAUGGGAAAUACGACUUAUGUUUGAAUUUAGAAAAAAAAUAGUAGGUAUACUCUAGCUAAUUUAAAACAAAGUAAUGUCCCAUGUUUUCGGGAUUGCAUAGUCAUUCGAUAACUGUUCAAGCAAUUGAAAACGGCAAAUACGUAGUGACACCAUUGACAUAUGCAGGAUCCGGUAAACAAGACGGAAGGUUUAUAAAAUUUUGAAUUCACCAAGAAGAAUAUCAACGCCAUAAUACUCAAAAUACCCAAGUCGAUGAACAGAAAAAUUACAACAAAGUUUAAACAACAACGACGUUUGUUAAAAAAAAUAUUGAAGUGGGUGUACAAGGCAUUCGCUAUAAAUAUUAAACAUUUUAAAGAUGACGCUACAUAAAAAAAAUAAAGAUAUAACAGCCAAGUUAGACGACAUUCGAAAGUCUAUCUCAAGAAUUUAAAUAGCUUGUUUCUGUUAUCAGUAACUCCACGAUUAAAAUACACAUACGAUAAUAUC